GAUGAACGCUGACAGAAUGCUUAACACAUGCAAGUCUACUUGAUUUAUGGUUUCGGCCGUAAUGAUGGUGGCGGACGGGUGAGUAACGCGUAAAGGAUCUGCCCUUUAGACUGGGAUAACAGUUGGAAACGACUGCUAAUACCGGAUAUUAUGGAAUCAUCGCAUGAUGGAAUCAUGAAAGCUAUAUGCGCUAGAGGAGGACUUUGCGUCCCAUUAGCUAGUUGGUGAGGUAACGGCUCACCAAGGCGACGAUGGGUAGCCGGCCUGAGAGGGUGAUCGGCCACAAGGGAACUGAGACACGGUCCUUACUCCUACGGGAGGCAGCAGUGGGGAAUAUUGGGCAAUGGGCCACAAGCCUGAUCCAGCAAUUCUGUGUGCACGAUGAAGGUCUUCGGAUUGUAAAGUGCUUUCAGUAGGGAAGAAUAAAUGACGGUACCUACAGAAGAAGCGACGGCUAAAUAUGUGCCAGCCGCCGCCGUAAGAC
rnacentral:rRNA from 1 species